rnacentral:rRNA from 1 species
GACGAACGCUGGCGGCGUGCUUAACACAUGCAAGUCGAACGGAAAGGCCCUGCUUUUGUGGGGUGCUCGAGUGGCGAACGGGUGAGUAACACGUGAGUAACCUGCCCUUGACUUUGGGAUAACUUCAGGAAACUGGGGCUAAUACCGGAUAGGAGCUCCUGCUGCAUGGUGGGGGUUGGAAAGUUUCGGCGGUUGGGGAUGGACUCGCGGCUUAUCAGCUUGUUGGUGGGGUAGUGGCUUACCAAGGCUUUGACGGGUAGCCGGCCUGAGAGGGUGACCGGCCACAUUGGGACUGAGAUACGGCCCAGACUCCUACGGGAGGCAGCAGUGGUGAAUAUUGCACAAUGGGCGGAAGCCUGAUGCAGCAACGCCGCGUGCGGGAUGACUGCCUUCGGGUUGUAAACCGCUUUCGCCUGUGACGAAGCGUGAGUGACGGUAAUGGGUAAAGAAGCACCGGCUAACUACGUG